rnacentral:rRNA from 1 species
GGGGAAUAUUGCGCAAUGGGGGAAACCCUGACGCAGCAAUACCGCGUGAGUGAAGAAGGUUUUCGGAUCGUAAAGCUCUGUUAUUGGGGAAGAAAAAAAGACGGUACCCAAGAAGAAAGUCCCGGCUAACUACGUGCCAGCAGCCGCGGUAAUACGUAGGGGACAAGCGUUGUCCGGAUUUACUGGGCGUAAAGGGCACGCAGGCGGACAUUUAAGUCAGAGGUGAAAUCCCAGGGCUCAACCCUGGAACUGCCUUUGAUACUGGGUGUCUUGAGUACGAGAGAGGUGAGUGGAAUUCCGAGUGUAGAGGUGAAAUUCGUAGAUAUUCGGAAGAACACCAGUGGCGAAGGCGGCUCACUGGCUCGUAACUGACGCUGAGGUGCGAAAGCGUGGGGAGCAAACA